AGGUCAGUCGGGACUACCCGCUGAG
rnacentral:rRNA from 1 species